UUGCAUGUUUGUAGGUACGUGGGAUUUCUGCUAAAAAAUGCAUCAUCAACAGCGGAUGGCAGCUUUGGGCACGGACAAGGAACUCAGCGACUUGCUGGAUUUUAGCGCGAUGCGAAACAGCGAUAUGAAAAUGUUCCCAUCAUCCAUGAUGUUUUCCCCUCCUGCUAGCAGUGGAAAGAAUGGACCGACCUCCCUGGGGAGCGGACAUUUCUCCGGCUCAAGUACGUCGACGUUCAUUGCUCCUUUUUUUUUUUUUACGUUGUACUUUUGAUAUUCUGUUUCCCGCCUGCUUGCCCGAUGGAUACCCGUGGUCACAUUAUGAGGCUUUGCAUAUCAUGGCAUGUAAAAAAAUAUAUAUGUUAUCAACCUAUUUUAUACCCCCAAUUCCGCUUGUUAUGCAACAUUAUAGUGUUUUUCACACACAAGCCAGCCAUGUUAUUAGGUACACUUGCACAAUCAAAUAACAUGCAAAUGAUGUGCAGUCAUUCUCUGUCACAAAGGCCUUUACUAUUUCUAUAUUUGGUUGCAUAUGUACUAGUUGUACUGUGUUGUUAUCCCAUUCUAGCAGACUAAAAUACCACAUUUGAGU